GACGAACGCUGGCGGCGUGCUUAACACAUGCAAGUCGAACGGAAAGGCCCUGCUUUUGUGGGGUGCUCGAGUGGCGAACGGGUGAGUAACACGUGAGUAACCUGCCCUUGACUUUGGGAUAACUUCAGGAAACUGGGGCUAAUACCGGAUAGGAGCUCCUGCUGCAUGGUGGGGGUUGGAAAGUUUCGGCGGUUGGGGAUGGACUCGCGGCUUAUCAGCUUGUUGGUGGGGUAGUGGCUUACCAAGGCUUUGACGGGUAGCCGGCCUGGGAGGGUGACCGGCCACAUUGGGACUGAGAUACGGCCCAGACUCCUACGGGAGGCAGCAGUGGGGAAUAUUGCACAAUGGGCGGAAGCCUGAUGCAGCAACGCCGCGUGCGGGAUGACGGCCUGCGGGUUGUAAACCGCGUUCGCCUGUGACGAAGCGUGAGUGACGGUAAUGGGUAAAGAAGCACCGGCUAACUACGUG
rnacentral:rRNA from 1 species